rnacentral:rRNA from 1 species
GUGUUUGAUGUUGGUUUACUUUAUGAAAAAUAAUUUAAUUUAGUUGUGUUUUAGUAAUUACUGUGAAUAAAUUGGAUUUUAUAUAGUAUGUGUAUUGUGAAAGAAUAAUUUUUUAUUUGAAGAAGUAAAUUAGUUUUUUACCUUUUGUAUCAGGGUUUAUUAAAUAAUUAAUAUGAAUUUAUUGAUCUCGAAAUUAAAAGAGCUAUCUAUAAAUUAUUUUUUAUGUUGAAUAAUGAUUAUAAAUUUAUAGAUGGGAGUGAAAUGCUAUUCGAUUUUAGUGAUAUCUAGUUUUUUUUGAAAUGAAUUUAAUUCAUAUAUUUAAUUAAAUAAUAAAAUUAUUUUGUAUUUUUGUUAAAUAUAAAAAAUCUAUGGGACAAUCUAUAGGUUUAUGUUACUAUUUAGGUUAGUGUUUUGUAAGAAUUGUGGUUUUAAAAUUUAAUUUCAUUUGAGAUAAUUUAAUAAUUUAUUUUAUUUAUUAAAAAUUUAAUGAUUUAAUGUAAUAGUUUAAAAUAAAGUAUAUAUAAAUAAUCUUUGUAUAGAUAUAAUGAUAAAAUUAGUAAUUGAUUUAGUAUAAAUAAUUAUUAUGUAUAAAUAAAUUAAAGGAACUCGGCAAGUUUAAAAUAUUCACCUGUUUAUCAAAAACAUGUCUUUUUGUUUAAUAAUUUAAAGUCUGCUCUGCCCAAUGAAUUAUUUUUAAUGGCUGCAGUAUACUGACUGUACAAAGGUAGCAUAAUAAUUAGUCUUUUUAUUGAAGGCUUGUAUGAAUGAGUUGAUGAAAUAUUUACUGUCUCUAAUUUAAAUUAUUAAUUUAGAUUUUAAGUAAAAAUGCUUAAAUUUUUAUAUGGGACGAGAAGACCCUAUAGAAUUUUAUAGUUUAUACUAAUAGUAAUUUUAUUAGUAUAAACUAUUUUGUUGGGAGGAUAUUUAAAUUUAUUUAACUUUAAAAAUUUUAUCCAAUUAUUUUUGUUUAAAAAGAUAGUUUAUUAAAAAUUGUUAGAUUAAAUUACCUUAGGGAUAACAGCGUAAUAUCUUUGGAGAGUUCAUAUUUAUAAAGAUGAUUGCGACCUCGAUGUUGAAUUAAAGUAUAAUUUAAAUGCAGGAGUUUAAAUUUUAAGUCUGUUCGACUUUUAAUAUUUUACAUGAUUUGAGUUCAGAUCGGUGUGAGCCAGAUCGGUUUCUAUCUAUAUUUAUCUAAUAAAUUUUUGUACGAAAGGACUCAAUUUAUAGACUAUUUUUUUAUACACAUAUUGAGAUUAAUAAAUAACGUUGAACUUCCUUGGCAGAAUAGUGCGU